UUUUUCCUGUCAGUUGAAUUUGGGAAGGAAGGAACAAGCAAAAACUUUUACCUUCUUCUUUCAAUUGGACACUACGGACAGAAAUCCAGGAGAGCUGACCUUGCCUUCUUCCUUCCACAUACAGCAACUGCAGACACAGCAGAUAAAACAGAGCCAGAAUGCUUUGCUGCCAGCUGGACCUUUGACCCAAACCCCAGUGCGACUGUCUCCAGUGCUCACUCAACUGCAAUGCAUCAAUGAAGGAAGAAAGAACUGAGCAUCGGCAAAAAGCUGAGGAUGACAAGCUUAGGGGAUGAAAGGCUGCCUUUUCCCCCCACCCUUCUGAGCUUUUCUGACAGCUCCCAGCUGGGAGAAACCAACAUGAUGAAAAGAAAAAGAAUACUGGAGAAGAGAGAGGGUGGGCAGAGCCACAACCUCAUCCUCCCAGUGGUUCCUCUUGAGUUUGAUUUGACAAGAUGCCUUCCCACCCAGGUGACCCCAUGGGAACGUGCCAGUACCUCACCCCACGACCUCACAGAGUCCUCACAAAAACUCCAGGGUGCAGAUUUUCUUCCCCACUUGGAGAUGACAAAUUGAAAUGCAGGAAGGUUAAAGAGCUUGCCUGAGGUUGCUUAGAUAAUAAAAGAAUCUGGAUUAGAACCCAGACCUACCCAGCUCA
rnacentral:lncRNA from 1 species